GAUGAACGCUGGCGGCGUGCCUAAUACAUGCAAGUCGAGCGAACAGACGAGGAGCUUGCUCCUUUGACGUUAGCGGCGGACGGGUGAGUAACACGUGGAUAACCUACCUAUAAGACUGGGAUAACUUCGGGAAACCGGAGCUAAUACCGGAUAACAUGUUGAACCGCAUGGUUCAACAGUGAAAGACGGUCUUGCUGUCACUUAUAGAUGGAUCCGCGCCGCAUUAGCUAGUUGGUAAGGUAACGGCUUACCAAGGCAACGAUGCGUAGCCGACCUGAGAGGGUGAUCGGCCACACUGGAACUGAGACACGGUCCAGACUCCUACGGGAGGCAGCAGUAGGGAAUCUUCCGCAAUGGGCGAAAGCCUGACGGAGCAACGCCGCGUGAGUGAAGAAGGUCUUCGGAUCGUAAAACUCUGUUAUUAGGGAAGAACAAAUGUGUAAGUAACUAUGCACGUCUUGACGGUACCUAAUCAGAAAGCAACGGCUAACUACGUG
rnacentral:rRNA from 1 species